AAUCUGCAUAUAAUACAGAAAAUAUAACAAUGUUUUCUAUAUAUAAAAUAAUGGCUACACAAUAACACAAAACUCCAAAUUUGAGCACUCAAUAUUAGUGUAGUAAUAAAUAAAAAGGUUCAACAAAGCAACAAUAAAUUCACCCUGAUGAUAUGUCAUACACUCUACACAGUAGAAUGACCUUUGAUUUUUUUCUAAGAAUUCAUUUUACCUUGCAUCAAUAAAUAAAACAUUUUAAAGAGAACAAUCACUAUUGCUAUUUAUAUAUAAUGUGCUAUGAUAAUUAAAUAUCAUCAAAAACUACCUCGACCAAAAACUUUAGCGGGACAGACCAAUGAAUGAACAGAUGGACAAACCAGAAAACAUAAUAGAUAUAGGAAGAUGUGGUGUGAGUGCCAAUGAGACAACUCUCCAUCCAAAUAACAAUUUAUAAAAGUAAACCAUUAUAGGUCAAUGUACCGCAUAAUGCCCAUAAAUGGUGUAUAAUUUAUAGAAAUUUGAAAUCAUAAGGAAAAAUAUCAUGUACUGAGGGUAAAAUUUAUUAUGACAGUAUGCCGAAGUGUCACAAAAUAUUGGAACCAUUUUAUGAAUUCAAAUUAGGUUUAACUAAACUUUGUAUAUAUCCUUCAAAACAGUAUUUGAUAAAUUGCAAUGAAUUAAUCAAUUAAGUGUAAACUAAUUAAUCAGAUAACUCCUUUAGGAGUUUAUUAAAACAAUGAGCAAAGUAUACUAAUAUAAUCUAUUGUCAUGACACUUUAUAUCCUAAAAGAAGCAAUUAAAAGUGUAUUUUAUUUCAUUUUGAUUUUCACAUGUACUAUUUAACAAAACCAUGUACAGGAAUCACCAUUGCUAAAUAAUUUGACUUUAUUGUUGUUAAUGUCGAAAAUUCACUUUUAAAUAGAUUGAAUUUAGCUAUUUCAAUAUAUUAUUUCUAGUUACGAAGGUAUUGAAGAUUGAAAAUAUUUGCUAUACAUCAACAAAAAUGUAACUGCUCGUUGAAUGUUUGGUAGAUAGAAACAUGUAGUUAACACAAAAUACAAAUACCCUUGGAACAAAAUACACAACAAAAGAAAGAAAAUCUAAACAAAGUUUACCUCCAACCUGACAGUAUAAAGCAAUCUUUAUCAUUCACUGUCUAUGAAGUCUUUCAGAUUGAUUAUCUCCCACUAAUACACAAAGUAAAACCUGUUGUUACCUCAACCCUGACAGUAUAACAGUCAUUUUGUUCACCACCUAUGUAGACUUUUGGAUUGAUUAUCUCCCCUUAGCACACAGAUUAAAACCUGUUGUCACCUUAUAGAUUUAAAUUGUCUAAACCUAGAUUUUUUUUUAUCUGAAAUCCCCUAGAUCUAUUAUUGGUAACAAUUAAACCGGCUUGCACUCUCAUUGUUAUACUAGGACACAUUACCACGUCAGAUGUGUGAACCCAAUACAAAGCAACAUGUGAAAUAACUAGGCAUUACUUACUUAUUUUCAGGUGUAAGCUACAAUCUAUAGAUUAACAUUAAAAAACAAUAACAAAUCAGCAGCUUGGAAGUUAUAGUGAUUCCUAUCAGGAAAACUAUAUAGUAUAAUGCAUGUAUAGGUGUUUAGUUAAUUUAGAACAUUUUUAUUUCUAGGUAAUACCACUGCAGUAUUUUUAGGUAGUACGACUGCAGUAUUUUUGCAGAUGCUAUACCAGUGAUAGUACAUAUAAUUUUUGUUUAUUAAGAAGCUUAUGUGUCUACUUCUAUAUACAUCUUUACUAUGUCUCUGUCUGGAAUGUUCUGAAAUCUAGCUGGCUAAUAUGGAUUGAAUUUUUAUGCAUUCACAUUAAUAUAAUAUCUUACUGUAGAUUUUUUUGUGUGUAAACAAAGCAUUUAUUCUUGUCCAUGCAGUAGGAAUUUUUCAUGGACGUUGUUGGCUUAAGUGAACCAAAAAUUUAAGUCAGCAUACAAAUUUUAUAUCAACUUGCAUGCAGAAUGUCUUAAACACAAAUGAAAUCAACUAAACACAAUUUUUUAACAAUCCACAAGGUCACACUUAAAAAUAUUUUGGUUUGUACAAACCCUACCUCAAGGUUGAAACAGUGGGUAGGUAGGUAGGCAUUUUCUUAUCUUUUUCGACAAAGAGAAAUUAAACCGUCGAAUGUUUUUUAGUCUCCAUACCUUUCUGAUUAAAAAAAAAAUUCUCAUCAGCACAAUAAAAGAUUUUUAGUAGGCAGCUAUAUUUUUGGUAGGUAGGGUUAGGGCAAACAAACAAUCUUUUUAUGGCCCAAAAUUCUAUCUUAAUGUUAAUGGUAUAAUAUUAAUUUUAGAAUUGUUAUCAAAAUCAAUACCCUGAAUCACCCUGCUACCUUUGAGCAAUUGAUUAAUUAGGUAUUAUAAUUUUGAAACAUAACUCUGUUUCAAACCUAUGUGAAAAUACUGGAGAGAACACUGAAUAUGACUAAACCUUUCUCUUCUAAUGUGUUCAUGGCAAGUUAAGGUUAAAUGAGAUUCCAAUUUAUUUUUAGAAUAUAAUACUAUGUUUUGGAAUUUCAUUUUCUAUGAAAAUGAAUCUUUAAGUUUGUAUAUCACAGGUAAAAAUAUAACAUUAUGCCAUACAUUUUAAAAUAUUGGUCAUUACAAUGUAAAGAUAUUUAAUAUUUCACUAUUAUAGUCCUUUUCAGAAACUCAUUCCAGAUUCAUGUAUUUUAAUCUUAAACUAAAACUUGAAGCUAGUUAUGCACUGAACUAAACAAAUAUUCAUACCAGUACACUUUUAAACAAGAAAAAAAAAUUGUAUUCCAUAGUUAUAUCAAAAUCAGAUUCUGACUUUCAGAAGUGAGUUUCAAGAAAGCUCUAUAUAUUUCAAACAACAAUAACAUUUUCAUAACAAUAUAUCAUAUUACAUUGUAAUUAAAAAUUCUCUGGUUAUCAAUUUG
rnacentral:lncRNA from 1 species